rnacentral:rRNA from 1 species
AGACAUUGUGUCUUCGAGUCGUUGAUUUCACACUGCCGAGAAAAGCCUCUAGAUAGAAAAUAGGUGCCCGUACCGCAAACCGACACAGGUAGUCAAGAUGAGAAUUCUAAGGUGAGCGAGCGAACUCUCGUUAAGGAACUCGGCAAAAUGACCCCGUAACUUCGGGAGAAGGGGUGCUCUUUAGGGUUAACGCCCAGAAGAGCCGCAGUGAAUAGGCCCAAGCGACUGUUUAUCAAAAACACAGGUCUCUGCUAAACCGUAAGGUGAUGUAUAGGGGCUGACGCCUGCCCGGUGCUGGAAGGUUAAGAGGAGUGGUUAGCUUCUGCGAAGCUACGAAUCGAAGCCCCAGUAAACGGCGGCCGUAACUAUAACGGUCCUAAGGUAGCGAAAUUCCUUGUCGGGUAAGUUCCGACCCGCACGAAAGGCGUAACGAUUUGGGCACUGUCUCAACGAGAGACUCGGUGAAAUCAUAGUACCUGUGAAGAUGCAGGUUACCCGCGACAGGACGGAAAGACCCCGUGGAGCUUUACUGUAGCCUGAUAUUGAAAUUCGGCACAGCUUGUACAGGAUAGGUAGGAGCCUUUGAAACGUGAGCGCUAGCUUACGUGGAGGCGCUGGUGGGAUACUACCCUAGCUGUGUUGGCUUUCUAACCCGCACCACUUAUCGUGGUGGGAGACAGUGUCAGGCGGGCAGUUUGACUGGGGCGG